GGUGCUUUAGAUCAUUUGAUCCGGCCAUCAUGGCAUUGUGGGCAUGCUCCAGGCUUUUGCUUUCCCUUGGGCUGAAAACACACCCAUUUUGAAAGAAACCUAAACCAUAGGUGGGACCCUCCUGUGCCUGCUUGCCAUCCAUCCUCCCUUCUCCCUCCCCACCUGCCUCUUUCCUUCACAUCUCUUCAAGAUUUUGGUGGAGAUCUUCCAUGCAAACACCUAGGUGGCACAUAUCCUUGGAGGCAUUGGUGACCUGCAGAGCUGGACAUCCACACAAGGAUUUCUGCUUCAUUAACCAAACUGCUCCUGGACCUGUGUGUGCUCACUUCCUACACCGUGCGGAUUCAUGACAGCGCCCUGCAAAACCAUUUCUCUGGGAAGAGCUGGUGUGUCUCGAAUCAGCUGGGCACAGCUCACAAGUACCAUUCUGAAACCGAGUGAUUCUUCCUGUAAACAAAAGUGGUUUGCAGGAGCUUGAUUCGGGAAGACAUGACAGCACUGGGGACGUUGCACUGCAAACUGUUCAGCUGUGUGAGCCUGUGUGUACUGAGGCGUUAAUGCAGAACUGUUGGGCAUUGGGCCCAGAACAGAUGUGAUGAUGAGUGAGAGCAAAGAGACAGGGAGGAAGGAGCAGAAGAAGAAAGAACAUUUUAGGCUUCUCAGUUCCUGCCUAAACAACCACUGCUUCCAAAACCUGGGCACCGUCCCCAUUUUCCUCUUAUCAGGAUAAAGUAGGAAGCAACAUGAUCUGUGGAGAAAAUGAACAUAUUUGUUUUUUUCAUUUGCCAAUCAUGCAAACAAUAGCUGUUUGUAGGUAAAUAAUCCUAGGUCUGCAUCGCCAGAUCAAUGCAGGGAGUGGUUCCCAUCAGCUCUGCGGUGCCAGACACACUGAAUGGUUUGUAAGGAAACAGGUCCUUGAACUUCUCCACGGCACAGACACUAUCUUAGUAGGUUAUCUCACACUUGCUUCUGUUCCUGCUCCCAUUCUCCUCAUCUUCCAAUGAUUGGCCUGGGAGGGAGUAGUGAAGACUAGAGGAAAUAGACCUUCAAAAAAAGGCUUCAAAAUGUUCAUCUGUUUGUUAUUUCCUUGCCACUUACUUUUCUAAUUUACUUUUGGAGCCAGGCUAGCUAAAGGAAAGGCCAAUCCUUGUGCACAGUCGCAGUUUAAUACCUACGAUAUGCAUGAAGAAAAUUAAUUUGACUGAGGAUUUUGCUUCAUGAAGUAAUUACAGCACAAAGCAUAAAAAGGCUGUGUUUUGUCUUGAGCCG
rnacentral:lncRNA from 1 species